CCUAGGGGAGGCAGCAGUGGGGAAUAUUGCACAAUGGGGGAAACCCUGAUGCAGCGACGCCGCGUGAGUGAAGAAGUAAUUCGGUAUGUAAAGCUCUAUUAGCAGGGAAGAAAAUGACGGGACCCGAGGAAGAAGCCCCGGCUAACACAGUGCCAGCAGCCGCGGUAAAACGGAGGGGGCAAGCGUUAUCCGGAUUUACUGGGGGGAAAGGGAGCGUAGACGGCAGUGCAAGUCUGGAGUGAAAGGCGGGGGCUCAACCCCCGGCCUGCUCUGGAAACUGUCCGGCUGGAGUGCAGGAGAGGUAAGUGGAAUUCCUGGUGUAGCGGUGACAUGCGUAGAUAUUCGGAGGAACCCCAGUGGCGAAGGCGGCUUACUGGACUGUAACUGACGUUGAGGCUCGAAAGCGUGGGGAGCAAACAGGAUUAGAUACCCUGGUAGUC
rnacentral:rRNA from 1 species